AUGGCUGAAUUUCUAUUCAUUUGCUCGUAUGACUGGAAUGCAUCUUUGCUUGUAUUAUCUCUUGUAACACUAAGAUUUUUUUAUGUUGUCAUGUCUUUAGGAGCGCCCCGGCCGAUCACAGCCACCACCACAGGCCGUUCAACGCCACCUCCGAGGAAAACCAUAUCCAAAAAACAGAGGCCCAAACCCACUAUCGUGCAGAAAAAGAAAGCAAAGCCCCAACCAUCAGCUGCUCAAUCAUCAGGUCUGAUGGCCGAUGGAGAAGCGAAGCGAAAGACGGUUAGGAAGCGCAAGAGAAGUGGCAAAGACAUCAGGUCCAUGUGUAUUUAA
rnacentral:rRNA from 1 species